rnacentral:rRNA from 1 species
GAGCACGUAGGUGGGUUUGUAAGUCAGAUGUGAAAGCCUUCUGUUCAACGGGAGAAUUGCAUCUGAAACUACAGACCUUGAGUAUAGGAGGGGAGAAUGGAACUUCUGGUGGAGCGGUGAAAUGCGUAGAUAUCAGAAGGAACGCCGGCGGCGAAAGCGAUUCUCUGGCCUAUUACUGACACUCAAUGUGCGAAAGCUAGGGGAGCAAACGGGAUUAGAUACCCCGGUAGUCCUAGCCGUAAACGAUGGGCACUAAGUAGAGGGG